UAGAGUCUUAGGGCUCGGUGACAGGAUUUAAGACAGCGAAAUUUUGUGGCGGUUGAUUGGAAUUAAUUGAUUUCGCCAGAAGAUCCGCUCAAUGAGGCGAAAUGAAUCCGCACGUAGAGUUCAACUUUGGGGUACUUUGGCCCACGAAUUCACGCUGUUGACCAAGAGCAAGCUGUCUUGACAGUGCUCAUCUUUGAGGGGACGAAGAGCUGGAGAGUCCAAAAUGGAGGAAGCUAUUGUGGCUUAUUAGCUCCAUGUCCACUCCAGUUGUCACAUUGAAACGGAAACCUCUUAGCACCAACAGCACCAGGGCAGGUGAUAAAUUGAGGUGUCAAAGGACCCAGAAUUGCCAGGACUAGGUUCAGUCCUCAAACCAACACCUGACUCACCGGCUCUCCAAAAACUUCUCAUGACCGGAUUCACCGCUGCUUCACGUCAGCCAGCUGUCCUCGCCCCGUCUGCCUGCUUAAGGAGCUUCCGUCCACACACCUGGUUACUGGUUUCGACUUGUUUGUACAAUAAACCAAAACUAACCACUUAA